UACGAAGGACCCAAGCGUUAUCCGGAUUUAUUGGGUUUAAAGGGUGCGUAGGCGGAUUAUUAAGUCAGUGGUGAAAGCUCUCGGCUCAACCGGGAAACUGCCAUGGAUACUAUUUGUCUUGAAUGUUGUGGAGGUAAGCGGAAUAUGUCAUGUAGCGGUGAAAUGCUUAGAUAUGACAUAGAACACCAAUUGCGAAGGCAGCUUACUACACAAAUAUUGACGCUGAGGCACGAAAGCGUGGGGAUCAAACAGG
rnacentral:rRNA from 1 species